UGACAUUGUAUACAUGCCUUAGCCCAAG
rnacentral:sRNA from 1 species